GACGAACGCUGACGGCGUGCUUAACACAUGCAAGUCGAAGGGAGUGGCGAACGGGUGAGUAAUACGUGGGUAACCUGCCCUUUUCUUUGGGAUAAGCCUGGGAAACUGGGCCAAAUACUGGUUCGAUUGGGAUGGGCUCGCGGCUUAUCCGCUUGUUGGUGGGGGGAUGGCUUAGCAAGGCUUUGACGGGUAGCCGGCCUGAGAUGGUGGGCUGUCACACUGAGACUGAAGUACGGCCCAGGCGCCUACGGGAGGCAGAAGUGGGGGAUAUGGCAGAAUGGACGAAAGUCGGAUGCAGCGACGUCGUGUGGGGGAGGAAGGCCUUCGGGUUGUAAUCUCCUUUCGCCCGCGGAAGGGUAGUGGGUAAAGAAGCGCCGGCUAACUACGUGCCAGCCGCCGCGGUAAUUC
rnacentral:rRNA from 1 species